UACUAGGCAGUCCUGUUUCAAUAAAAAUUGCAUAGUCGGGAGUAUUUUGUGGCAGUCGAAAUAUCUUUUUUACAAAAAAAGUUAGUACUCGUUCCGCAUCUUUAUAUCUUUGAUUUUCCCACACAUCUGCCGAGUAGCACAUAAUUGUUUUCACUGUCGCCUGGAAAAGGCACUCAUUUUAACGUUUUUUCUGCCUAAAAAGUUUUUCCAUGUGGCGUUCAUAGCUAUUUUUGCAUCUUUGAGCUUAUCUUUUAUCUGGAUUCCGUUCAGUUGCCAUUUUUCGUUCCUAGCGUGACGGCCACCUGUACCCUUAACUACCAUAAUCUUUGAUUUGCUUGUAUUUAUGGGCUGUCAGCCAGUAGGCACAUGUCAUCGGCAUACAUAAGGGUCUGAACAUGGGUUCCAUUCACGGUCACUCCACCUAGUUAAAAAUCAACAACGUCGUCCACGAAGAGAGAGAAGAGGAGAGGGCUGAGAAUUGAGCCUUGUUUAACUCCACUGUUGGUAUCGAACUAUUUCGAAAGCUCUGAUCCGUCCCAUACACUUGCUUUGUUAUCCUCAUAGAUACUGGACAGUGCUAGUAAGGCUUUUGUUGAGAGUCCGAGUUGGCUAAGUUUAUACAUUAAGCUAUUUUGGUUCACUGUUUCAAAGGCGGCUUUAAAAUCUACAAAGAAAAUGUA